AAUUUGAAGAGGAUUUGGAUGUCUUGGGUGCUCUCGGGUUAAAGGGACUAUUUUGUAAGGCCUUUUUAAAAACAAGUGUUGGAAGAGUGAUGUAUUUAUGGCCACAAGGUGGCGGCAACGGGUGAGAUUCCCAUUUGCGUUCGGCCGGAAAGGCUUUGUGCGUUACCCGGAAGUGGUGGCGAUUUUGAAUUUCGGCCGCCUUCACUUUGUUUUACCUGGGAAACACGCUUUUAAAAAGUACUUUUUUGUCAGUGAGUUUAGAUUGUGUAGCGUUCGGGUAAAUGUGCUGCUCGGCUUGGCUUUCCUUUUACGGGCUUCGCGAUGUGAGGGGAGGAGUUAAUUGGAGGCAGGUGCGCAGCGGAACGCCAUAAAGCCGACGCAGGUGCACAUGGGCAUGAGCAGCAAAAUGGCGAGCAGGGACGCGGCGUUUUCUCAGGCGUGCAAGCGAAUGUUUGUUUGUAACGGCGGAAUUGUUUGUUGCGGGCUUCUCAGUGGCGAGGAAGGAAAGGUUUGCUCGAGCGCGGCAUGUUUGCGCGUCACUUUGGGCUGAGCACUUGAGUUGCUUUUUACGUGAUUUUUUUUUUUUUUUUUUUUUUUAAGCUGGCCGGCUCUUCUGUGGAGUUCAUUUUUCUGUGUGAAUUUUUACCUGUAUUGUUAAUGUAUAUUGUACAUUUGCUUGAAAUUCGUAUCUUUCCUGUGAGCCCCUUCCCCAGUUGCAGUCUUUUUUUGUGAAAGGCGGUUCUUCAUCCGACGAGAGGAACUUGUACAAAAAGUUUCCAGCUCCCAACUAACGACACUUGUGUGCUUUUUGCAGGUUGUCGGAGGAGGUCAAGGGACGACGCCACUCUCAAGCGGUUUGCCCGUGUCUGAAUUUGUCCGAGGCGCCCGUGGAAAAACAAAAGUGACCAGCAGGGGGCAGAGUACUGUGGUUUGUGUUGGCUGAUUGGAGCUCCAGUUUGGGUUUCUGUGUUUUAGGAGGUCUGAUUUGUGACGCAGGCAGGCAAAGUGUUGGGCAGUCAGUGUUGUUGGCAGGGUCGUGCUCGAGGCGGUCAGGAGUCGUUUGGCCGGUCGCGGUUCAAGAUGGCGGUUUGAAAGGCGGAGGCGCACGUUGCGGGUUUUGGGGGAAGAGUCGGCAGUACUGGUCAACGCGUAAAACAUUUUGCACUGUUUUACGCCCCCUGCACCAGGGUGGUGGAGAUGCAGAAUCUGGCAACGCACCAAAGUUGCAGCAUAAAGUACUUUUUUUUUUUUGUUGUUUUUUGAGGCGGGGCAAUUAUGCAAAAAGAUGCAGUCAUCUCUUGAAUGAGAACAGUUGAACAUAAACAAUAGGGUCGGGUCCAUUUGGCCCGACAGAUGUGACAAAACGGGCUUGGAAAGAAAGAAGUUGUUUGGAAUGUCUGCUUGUCGUAGUUUGCGUGGCUCAAGUGGACGGGGAGGCCGCAAGAGGAUUUUGGAUGCGGAGCUGUGCAAGUCCUGGAGGAGGAGUCGGCAGCAUUUUGGACCCCCCCCCCCCAACCAAGUCUUUUGAGGUGUGGUGGAUUUGGGGAAGGGGGAAUACGUCCUUACACAUCCACUGGUCCUUUUUUUCUUGGCCACAAGGUGGCCAAACCAAGGUAGAAAUGCUCUGCCCCCUCCAGGUUGAAGCGCCAACGAAGGGAAGUAUCUUUCUUGCACUUGCUGUUUGUUGCCACUAAUUCACGGGGGGGGGGGGUGCACUGACUCACAUUUGUCAUUUUUGAACUGUUUUAUUUAGACUGGUACUUUUGAAUAAGUGAACUCGGUUUGGCCUUUUGAGCUGCACUCCGUUGUAUUGUUGAACAAAUGUAUUUUUUUUUUUUUUUUCCUAUUUAGGUGUGGUGGAUUGGGCAAGAACACGGAAAUUGGACAAGGGUAAAAAGUCCUGACACAACAUCGUGAACUGAUCUUCACCAAACUAAUUGACCCCCCCCCACCUCAAGAAAGAAAAGUGGGAAUGUUCCACCGCUUCAAGAUCCAACUCCGAGGGAAGUGUCUUGCGACCACUUUUGCUGUUUGUCGUCACUCACUAAUUCACGGGGGGGUGUUUGCACCGACUCACAUUCUGAUUUUUGAACAUUAAUUUGGCCCUUCUGUAGUUUCGUGUGGAAUUUCAAGCUGUCAUCCGUCCCUAUUGGUCAAUGCCAGCUUUUUGCUUUCAGGGGCAGCGGCGGAUUGGGCAAGAACACAGAAAUUGGAGAAAGAUAAGUUAUGACUAUAACUAAUACAGUACACGUGACAUGUGAGUGGCGCGUUCCCAACGUGAUUCUUCCUCGUGUUGAUGACUCGGAGCAGCGGUGGAGUGCAGGAAUGCGGCCAGGAGGAAAAAAAACGUACACGGCGACGCUGUCCAGUCGGGGUCCUCGAAGCCGCGUUCAACGUGAAAUUGUGCAGUCACGCCGACCUGAGGGAAGGAAGCUGCAAGUGGUGACCAGGAUGUGGACGCUGCAAGAGCAUUUUUGGAGGCAGGUCCUCAAGGGGGGGGCUCGAGGGGCCCCCUUUUCAGCGGUUUUGCUCGGAGGUGGAAAGCAGAACACGGGACUGACUCGACGACUGCAAUGUCGAACUCCCUCGGCGGCUUCUGCGGCAGACGCAGGAAGUGGACCUUCCGCUGGGCCUUUUUCAGGUCGGGAGCGAUUUUAAACUCCCAGGACGUUGAAGGUCCCCCACGGCGAACGCACGGCAGCUGGGACGAAGGACGCCUCUGCCUCACGAAGUCCACAAUCUUUUCUCCGCUC